GACGAACGCUGGCGGCGUGCUUAACACAUGCAAGUCGAACGGUGAAGCGCCUUCCUUUUUGGUGGGUGUGGAUGAGUGGCGAACGGGUGAGUAACACGUGAGUAACCUGCCCCCUUCUUCUGGAUAACCGCAUGAAAGUGUGGCUAAUACGGGAUAUUCUGGGUCUGUCGCAUGAUGGGUCUGGGAAAGAUAUUGUUUCGGUGUGGGAUGGGCUCGCGGCCUAUCAGCUUGUUGGUGGGGUGAUGGCCUACCAAGGCGGUGACGGGUAGCCGGCCUGAGAGGGUGGACGGGCACACUGGGAAUGCGACACGGCCCGGACUCGUACGGGAGGCAGCAGUGGGGAAUAUUGCACAAUGGGCGCAAGCCUGAUGCAGCGACGCCGCGUGAGGGAUGGAGGCCUUCGGGUUGUGAACCUCUUUCGCCAGUGAAGCAGGCCUGCCUCGUUUGUGGGUGGGUUGACGGUAGCUGGAAAAGAAGCGCCGGCUAACUACGUG
rnacentral:rRNA from 1 species